rnacentral:rRNA from 1 species
UACAGAGGUCUCAAGCGUUGUUCGGAUUCAUUGGGCGUAAAGGGUGCGUAGGCGGCGCGGUAAGUCGGGUGUGAAAUCUCGGAGCUUAACUCCGAAACUGCAUUCGAUACUGCCGUGCUUGAGGACUGGAGAGGAGACUGGAAUUUACGGUGUAGCGGUGAAAUGCGUAGAUAUCGUAAGGAAGACCAGUGGCGAAAGGCGGGGUC